rnacentral:lncRNA from 1 species
GCAGGACUUUAAGGGUCGUGUCCUUAUUCUCAACAUAACGCUGGGAUUUGAUGAUGAGGCAUGUUCAGGGUUUGUGGGGAGGUUCACAGACAUCCUCAGGGGGGAUACAAAGUAUUGAAAUGUCCGGAUGAAUAUAAGAGACAGUCAUCUGUGCAGCAUCAAUGCAAAGAAAGACCAUAGAAGAGCAAAAAAACUGAAGUCCUGCUUGAGAUCCCUGGAUGAGUACUCCAGGUUGACAGUCUGGAAGGACGAGACAAGGGAGUCCUAAACAGAGGCUGCACCCCUUCAGAUAUCAGAGGUGAUUUGCAGACAGCGAUGACGAGGGUCCUGUUAUUUCAAUGGAGGCCGACCGAGUUGUAUGCCAAAUGGUACUGGGACACACAAAGGCUGGUCUGGCUAAUGUGAGAAGACCAACCAAUGCCAAGCUGGAGUGGAAUUCUUCCAGGACAUUCAGGAAAUUCUUGUCUUGAGCCAUAUGGUAAACACUUGAAAGGAAUGAUAAAUGGGACUUAUUGUCUUUAAAUGUGGACCCAAACACCAAAUGGAAAGUUCACAAUUCUACUAACACAAUGCAGCAGAGAUAGAGUCUAACUGGUAUCCCCUCAUCCUGGUUCCUGUUCAUCCAUGGCAAUAUAGAAAGAAAAGGAGGAUCGAGGGAAAGUAAGUUCUCUGAACUGGUGAACAUAAUCCGUAGGUACUGUCAAGCGAACAGUUAUCACACUCUGUUAUGAGUAUUGAAGAAUAGGAUGAAAUUGCAUACUGCAUCAGGAACCAUCAUGUGAACACUGUUCAAUGUGCGAUAUACUAUAGGCAUAUGAAUAAAAGAA